rnacentral:ncRNA from 1 species
CCAAAAUUUUAUUUUGAUUUGAAUAAUGAGUCUUUUAUGUUUUUUACAUGUAAAUGUUAGUGUUUUUGGGCUCAAUUUUAAAUAAAUUGAAGAUGAAAGUUUUAAUACGCAGUAUUUUAUUUUGAAUAUUAAGGAAACUUAGAUUUAGAAAUUUAAUUUAAUAUUAACUAAAUUUGUGCCAGCAGUUGCGGUUAAACAGAUAAUAUAAUUUAUUAUUAUAAAUUUAUAAUUAAAAAGUAUUAAAGUAAAAAUUUAAGUUAAAUUUAUUAAGUGAAAUUUUAAAUUUUUAAAAAAUUUUUAUAUAGGUUUUUGAAGUUAUUAAAUUUCAUAAAAGACUAGGAUUAGAUACCCUAUUAUUUAAAUGUAAAAUAAAAAUUAGAUUAUUAGAAGAUAUAAACUUUAAAAUUAAAAAAUUUGGCGGUAUUUUAAUCUAUUCAGAGGAACCUGUCCUAUAAUUGAUAAUCCACGAUUAAAUUUACUUAAUUUAUUAAUUUGUAUAUCGUCGUAGUUGAAUAUUUUAUAAGAAUUUUUAAUAUUCAUAAUUUUUAAAGAAAAUAAAAAUCAGAUCAAGAUGCAGUUUAUAAUUAAGAAGAGAUGGGUUACAAAAAAGUUUAAUUUUUGGUUAUUAUUUUUUGAAAUUAAUAAAAAAUUGGAUUUGAUAGUAAUUAAGUUUAUUUAGAUUUAAUGAUUUUAGCUCUAAAAUAUGUACAUAUCGCCCGUCGCUCUCAUUUUAAGUUGAGAUAAGUCGUAACAAAGUAAUUGUACUGGAAAGUGUAGUUAGAAUUAC